rnacentral:tRNA from 2 species
CACUAAGAAGCUAAACUCGGGCCAAGCGCCAGCCUUUUAAGCUGGAAGUUGGUGACUCCCAACCACCCUUAAUGA